rnacentral:rRNA from 1 species
UGGCUGGUGUUCUAACGUAGACCCGUGAUCCGGGUUGCGGACAGUGUCUGGUGGGUAGUUUGACUGGGGCGGUCUCCUCCCAAAGAGUAACGGAGGAGCACGAAGGUUAGCUAAUCCUGGUCGGACAUCAGGAGGUUAGUGCAAUGGCAUAAGCUAGCUUGACUGCGAGAGUGACGGCUCGAGCAGGUGCGAAAGCAGGUCAUAGUGAUCCGGUGGUUCUGAAUGGAAGGGCCAUCGCUCAACGGAUAAAAGGUACUCCGGGGAUAACAGGCUGAUACCGCCCAAGAGUUCAUAUCGACGGCGGUGUUUGGCACCUCGAUGUCGGCUCAUCACAUCCUGGGGCUGAAGUAGGUCCCAAGGGUAUGGCUGUUCGCCAUUUAAAGUGGUACGCGAGCUGGGUUUAGAACGUCGUGAGACAGUUCGGUCCCUAUCUGCCGUGGGCGCUGGAGAAUUGAGGGGGGCUGCUCCUAGUACGAGAGGACCGGAGUGGACGCAUCACUGGUGUUCGGGUUGUCAUGCCAAUGGCACUGCCC